AAACAUACCGAACUUGAAACCAAUUUCACUCUUUUUAUAAAAGUUACUACAGCAAGAUGAAAAAUGAAAAGAGUUCUACCAGAAACUUUGGGGGCAGACAUCACAGGUGCUGAGCCCGCCAAUCAACAGCAAAGAUCUCUUCACUAUCAUCAUCACUGGAUAACUCUUCUUUUAUAGGUUCUUUGCGAGCAACCUCAGAACUACCUCUGCUUUUCGCUGACCUGGAAGCUGCUUCCCACUCCAUUUUCUUCUUCCGUAGAGCUUCCAUUUUCUCACUGUAGGUCCUAUAGAUUGAUUUAAAAAAAAAUCGUAAGUUAAAAAAGAUAAACAAACAGCAGAUGAUAUUUGCUGCUGUUGCAAUUGUGCUACUUACUUUUGGUCCGCUGAUUCAUACUCUUCUAUCAUUACUGCUGCAUCAAUGUGCAUCUCACAAGUGCAUUUUAGAUAAUUGAUACAAGUCCAGACAUGUAAAUCCCAAGACAGGAAAGGUUCAGCGACUGGUAAAAGGGAGAAAAACAGCUCACCUCCUCUUGCUCUAAACGGUCAUCCACCAGUUUCAAGUCCUCUUGGAUCAACUUUUCAUAUUCCUUUCCUUGUACUCAUCUCUGAUCAGAUUUGACAUAAAUUCAAGAUUAUCAGAGAAUCGUAGAUCAAUAUAAAUACACAAGGGGGAAAAAAAAAUAAAUCCAUCAUAUCUAAACGGUAGAAGAGGCCAGUAGAUCCGGAAAUCAAUAAAAAUCGGCAGUGAAAUUUUAGGUGUAGCACUGAUAUUUCCCCUGUAUUGCGAUGUAAGUACACAUCAUAAUAUAUCUCUCUACUCCCUUCUUUCCUCGAAACUCAGAAUGUCUAAAACUUAACAUCGGAAGUUUCCUAUUGACAGAUUAGAUGUGCUAUCCAGCAUGCAAACACUUAAUCACAAUAACGGCAAUAUUUCACAUUUGGUUCCAAUGUCUUCAGCCUUUUAAGUAUACAAUUAGUUAGUUAAUGAUUAUGUUGAGAUGGUAGCUGAGUCAGCUAAAGUUUGUUAUAAUUUGUUUUAGAGGUUGUUAGCAGUGAGCUGUGCGUGCAUGUCAUUUGUAUAGAAUCUUCCAAUCACAUAUAAAAAGCCUUGUAAUUUCCAGAUUCAUUAAGAUCAAUAGAACAUAAUUUUCAGCUUACAGAAGUUCUCUCUUCUUCUUAUUUUGUCGGUAACCAAACAACAUCACAGAUUCAUAUAAAACUUAAUAUGGUAUCAGUGCCUUCCUGAUUCGUUUUCUAAUGGCUUCCAUCUAUAGCAAUUUCAGAAUCAAGAAGUGAAACUCAACUUCCAGUUGCUGGCCCUGAGCCAAGUCUAGCCUUAAGUCAUCCUCCAACACCAACAAGUACCCCAUCUAUCUUUCAACAUCUAUACACCCUAUGGUUACUAGAGAAAAAUCAGGAAUAUUCAAACCCAAAACUUAUCUAGCAGCAACUAAGGACAUAGAACCAAGAAGUAUCAAAGGAGCUCUAUCUAGUCAGAAAUGGUAUUUAGCUAUGAAAGAAGAGAUAGAUGCUUUGCAUAGAAAUCAGACAUGGACUCUGGUUCCUUCUGAUUCAGCCACCAAGAUUGUAGGUAACAAAUGGAUUUUCAGAGUUAAAUACAAUCCAGAUGGAAGCAUCUCUAAAUACAAGGCACGCUUGGUUGCGAAAGAUUUUCACCAAACACAUGGAAUGGAUUUCUUUGAAACCUUUAGCCUUAUUGUAAAGCCCUGUACAGUAAGAAUUAUUCUGAGCUUAGCAGUGAUGCAACACUGGACUAUUAGGCAGAUGUACAUCAACAAUACUUUCUUGAAUGGAGUGCUUACUAAAGAUGUGUAUAUGCACCAACCAGAGGGUUUUAUUGAUUCCCGAUUUCCUUCUCCUGUAUGCAAGUUGAACAAGGGUUUAUGUGGUCUCAAACAAGCUCCAAGGGCUUGGUAUGAUCAGCUGAAAGGUUAAUUAAUGCAAUGGGGUUUAUCACUGGAUCAAAUACAGAGCAUGUAGAGGGGGUAAUCAGUAAGCUUGGCUUUACUUAUGCCCUUAAAGACUUAGGAGGAUUAAACUAUUUCUUGGCAUAGAAUUAAAUCCUAGCCUGGAUGAUUUACAUCUCUCUCAAACUAAAUAUAUUGGUGAUAUUCUUCAGAAGGCACACAUGUUAAACAGCUAGAUGUUGCGGACUGCCCAAAUUACUGGCCCAAUUUCCCACAAUUUCGGGUUAAAGAGCCCAAGACAAGGCCAAGGGUGCUAGCUUGGCCCGAUUCCGGAAAGUUCUAGACAACUCUAACACAUUUGAGCUUGUAAAUAUCUAGAAUACUCCAUACAUUUCAAGCACAUGUAAUUAUCUAGAUAGUUGGUGGAAUUAUCUAAAAUCUCUAGAGCUUAGCAAACCUCCCCUAUAAAUAAGGUAUGACAUUUAGCAUUUGAGUAACAAGCUUCAAGCAAGCAACUUAAGCAUUCCUAUAAUCUCUCUUGUAAGCAAUACAAUUUCUCUUAUUCGGCUCCAUUACUCUCUUCUCUCUAACUCUUCGAAAACCUCUAGGCUUAGCUAGUCGAGAAGCUCAAAACUUACUUAGCAACAUUCGGUAAAGGUUGUCUAAGUGUCGCACGGGUUUGCUGUGCAAAACACUCAUCCCGUGACAAGUAGUAUCAGAGCUAAGGUUUACACCCACGCAAGUUAGCUAAUGAGCAAUGGACAACUUGCCAAAUUCAGUGCAAGAGGGCGCUGUUGGUGUGGAUGUUCCACCGGAACCAAGCUGCGGCCGUGAUGGAGAUCACGCCCAAGGCAAACGCGGCAAGUCCAAGCCCCCGUUCGUGGAUGCGUUGGAGCCUCAUGUAGCCACUCUCGAAACUGCCUUGUCCAUCGCUCAAGACAACCUCAAGGGAUUAGAGGAAAGAGUGGAGGGUCUCGAAGGAGAAUACGCCGAAUUCACGGUGACGACAAAAGCCCUCAUCUAAGAUCAAGCGAACACUCUCCGAGGUGACUUUCGAUCUUUUCAUAAUGAGUUGCUUAAACUUUGUAACUUUUUUCAGGAUGAACUAUUCGUUGUCCGCUCGGAUUAAACAUGGCACAAGCGCACACUCUCCGCUAGUCCAGCUUUUGCAAGCACGAGUGAUGCGCGAUGCAUUGAUGUGCUAAAGCCUGACACUUACGUUGGCACACGCAAUGCUACAAUUGUGGAUAAUUUUCUCUUUGGGCUAGAUCAAUAUUUCGAUGCCAUGGGUGUCCGAGAUGAGGCAUCGAAAGUGGGCACAACACCCACUUAUCUUUAAGGCGCUGUACAACUAUAGUGGCGUCAGAACCAUGGCGGGAUGGGCAAAGGCAUUUGCACUAUCAACACCUAGGCCCGACUUCAAGCAAGAACUCAGAAAGCAAUUCACCCCAAGAAAUGCGGAGAAAAAAGCGUGAAGCGUGCCUACGUCACCUUAAACAAUCAGGUAGUAUUCAAGACUACAUCAACAAGUUCACUAUUCUCAUGUUGGAGAUAAGCGACAUGUCAGACAAAGAUUCACUCUUCUACUUCUAAUAUGGCCUCAAGGAUUAGGCCAAGACCGAGCUUGAUAGGUGGGGUGUUCAAACACUUGACGACGCAAUCGCCAUUGCAGAGUCGCUCACCGAAUACUCUACCCAAUCUAAAGACAAAAAGGCCAACCAAGGCAAAGGUGGGGGAGAGAGUCAUAAGGACAAGGACAACAACCGCAAAGAUUGGGGGCAGAAAAAGCAUCCUAGCAACAAGAGCGGGCAAAGCAAAUUGGAGGGCAAGAAGGAGGUGCCAAAGCCGUGAAGCCCAUGCUUCAUAUACAAUGGUCCUCAUUGGGUACGCGACUGUUCGAAAAAAAAGUCGUUCAAUGCUCUUAUUGCCCAACUCAAGAGCAACCCCACAAUAUCCGCAGAAGAACCCCAACUCAUCGUGGGUUCUCUCCAACGCCUCGACACACUCAAUUGCCAACAACCUGCAUUCGUAAAAAAAGGGCUCAUGUAUAUAAGUGCAAAGAUAAAUGGCCAGUCCGUUCACACACUACUAGACGCGGGAGCGAUGCACAAGUUCGUGUCCAUAUAUGAGGUCAAGCGCCUAGGCCUCAAAGGAGAUGCACAUUCUGCUCUCACCCCUCAAAACCAGCCUAUGCCCUAUGGCCAUUUGGUUCAAAAAUCGGUUCAAGAUACAGCCACCAGUCAGCCUCAAUCACCACCUACACAAACAACGCCAAAAAAUCUCAUGCAAGUCACAAACAAGCACUCGAGAUAGUGCUCGCCGCUAGCUACAACUGUCAACCACCGAAUGUCAGCUGCAUGCGACCAUCACCAAACCCAGUCAAGGCCAGCUCAAAAGUCUUCAUGCGUGCUGUAAUUCCCAUCCUCAUGAGCCACUUUCGGUAGCAAAUCUUUUGUCCCUCUAUGUGUGAUCCUCAGUAGCAUUUCCCUUGUCCCACUAGCCUUUCCCACUAGUCAAAUUCAAGCCCAAUCCAUUUUCAAAACAUAUCCAAACACCCAGCCCUCCCGAAUGCCCUCCACACUCUUAUUAAAUAACCACCAAAAUGAUCUAUUAAUCCAAAAUACCACUCAGCCCACGUCCGCACCCUCACAUGCCUCGAUUUUGAAUUACGUCCCCAAUCUGAAUCAAAAUAAACCCACUAAAAAAUCUUUUGUGGAUAUUAUGAACGACCCAACUAGCUCGACGAUUCCAACCAAGACCGUCACUUCGUUCAAGGGAGAGCCUAAUGUGCAAUUUUCCAUUGCGGAAAUUCAAGCGAUGGCUAUUCUUUUCAAGCUGACAUUGAUAGGUAAAUUUUCUUAGAACAGACCUAGUAUGGAAUUCAUUCAUAAAUUUUUUAAUACUUUGAUAUUAAAGGGAACUUCCAAUGUGUCCCUUUUAGAUAAUCGACUUUUGUUAAUUCAAUUGGAUGUUGAAGAGGAUUACUCUUGCCUAUGAGUUAGGCAGAUAUGGUACAUUAACGGGAGUGUCAUGAGAAUUUUUAAAUGGAGCACCGAUUUUUGAUGUUACGAGGAGUCCCCUAUAGUCCCAGUAUGGAUUUCAUUUCCUUACUUGCCUGUCCACUCCAUGCACUAUAAGGAAGCAUUAUUUUUUAUUGCAUCAACUAUUGGUAAGCCAUUGCGAAUUGACCAAGCUACUGCCUCUUUAGCUCGCCUUUUCAUAGCCAAGGUGUUAAUGGAGUAUGAUGUCACUCAACCUCUGUUGCUACGGAUACAAAUCAGUGUGGAAGAUUCUAGAUUUUGGCAUAAUGUAAUUUUUGAGAAAAAUCUCACUCCACUGUACUUCCUGCAAGCACUUUGGCCAUACCAUUGAUACGUGUUACGUGGCCAAUCUAGGGUUCCGUCCCCAGCGGCCAGUGGGAACUGGCAGAGCAGAGUAGAUAAUAAGAAGUCAGAAGUUAUGCCAUCAGAUACUCCACAACCCUUAGAUACUCCACAUUCUGAGCCUUUCAUCACUAAGCAGAUUGUAGAUGCGGGGUCUUCGGUUGUCUUACCUACGGAGAACCGAGCCAACGACACAAACUCUACUUCCAUUCAGGAGCCGAUUGGCUAGGAUCUCACAACUCAUGAUUCUAGGAUCCGAAAACUCGGUGAAUAUAAUCCACAUCUUCAUCAAGUAUCCAGCAUAAAUUUCAGGCAAUACAAUUCUCAUACUAAUAAUGAUGAUAGUUCUAUCAAGCACCUGGCAAAUAAUGACCAUUUUCUAUCUGCACCUGAGAAUUAUGAAAGAAUUGACUCUAUCCAUGAUUUUAACAUUGUCAGUCAUUCGAAAAGGGCAUUAAAUUACUUGUCGGCUGGAAGUAUCGUAAGAAAUAUUAUCAACGUUUGCAUUAGUCAUUUUAUUAUAAGUCUUAUGUUAGGCUAUGCCUUAAUUAUUUCUUUUACUGUUAUAUAUUUUUUUUCUCUUGAUUGGAGGUUUUAGUUUAUGUCCCCCUCCACAUGUAUUUUUCAUUUUCUGUUCUAAAUGAUAGGUAGGGGUCUUGUCUAACCCCCCCCACCAAUAGGUGGUAUUCGCAUAAAAAAAACACACACACACAUAAGCAAGUAAUUCAAUUAUGACUAAAUUCUCAGAGACACUAAUAAUUGACCACUAAUCAAAUUUCUUUUCGGAGAGGAGAAAAAGAUUGGGGCACCUCAUGAUGUUUACAAGAGGCUUAGUGGGAAAUGGUGAAGAGAUUGUUAUUGAUGGAAACGUCAUUGAUGGAAAAUCAAAUUAAAGAUAUAUUCGAGAUGCCUAGACGCCCUCAUCUCCUAAGUUUAUUUCUUAACAAUAAUGAUAAGUUGAGGAUCCCUGAUGGCUUCUUUCAGUAGAUGUCUCCUCUCAAAGUUUUAAGCCUGUCACGUAAUGAGGUAUUAUUCAAAUUACCUUCAGAUAUUUCAAGGUUGGUUUCAAUUGAACUACUUGAUCUUUCAAACUCACGGAUAAGAGAGAUGCCAGAGGGGUUAAAGGCGUUGGUAAAUCUUAAGUGUUUGAAUUUGGAAUACACAUUUGAUUUAAUUAAAAUUCCUAGGAAGCUAAUAUUUAAUUUUUCAAGGUUACAUGUGCUGAGACUGUUCGGUCAUGCAAUAACAAGUGUUUUAUAUGGUGGGGAUGAACUCAUAGUAAAGGAAUUGCUUGGUUUGAAACAUUUAGAGGUAUUGAGCUUCACCUUACGAAGUUCUUAUGCCCUCAAAAGUUUUUUGAGCUCGCGUAAGUUACAAAGUUGUACACAAGCUCUGCUCUUCCAUCGCUUCGAAGAUUCAUCACUUGAUGUUUCAUGUUUAGUAGGCCUGAAGCUGCUAAGUAGAUUAUGGAUUGCAGGCUGUCCUUAUUGAAAAGUCAAAGAAUGACUUGCAAAUUUCAAAAGACAAAGUUGAUGGGCUUGCUAAUUUCAAAAGGCAAGGUUGGUGGCACGAUUUUGUUGAGGUUGCAUGGAGAAAAAAUGUGAUGGUUUUUUAGAAGCCAAUUGAUUUUUUUUCAAAUUUGUUGAUUUUGUUGCCCACCAAAUUGAUUUUCCAUUCUAAAUUCAAUUUGUCAAUUUGGCAAGUUGUAGCCAAAUUGAAAGUGGUAGGUGAGAUACAGUUCCUAUAAAUAGAAGGGUUAUUGUUCAUUUGUAAUACAUCCCAAUUUGAGAGAAGUAGAGAGCAAUUGCAAGUGAGUUCUUUGAGAGAAUUUGAGAGAGCUUCCACUUGAGUGUUUUAGUAAGGUUCCAUUUGGGUGUAUUGGGGUUGUGGAUCUUGUGAGUUUUUUCCCACUUUUAUAAAUUUCCAUUGUUAGUAAAAUUAUCUUUCAGUCUUUACCCAUGGACGUAGGCAUUACGCCGAACCACGUAAAUCAUUGUGUUCUAUUUUCUUUGCAUUUGUUUAUCACCACAUUUAUAUUUCUCCAAAAGUCGCAGUAUUAGUAAUUGCUCAACCCGCAUUUUCGCAACAAGUGGUAUCAGAGCCGACGGUUCGUACUUGGGGGAUAUGGUAUUGUUCAUGUAUACGAUACUAUUCUCAUAUAUGAUAUUGUUCCCAAAUACGGUGGAGACGGUCAUUUAUACUUGGGAGACAAUCUAUUGUAAGUAGUGUGUAUUUUUGCAUGGCUAGAAAAGUUCUGUCAAUAAGGCGAUAAGAGUCUAAAGAUUCCGAUUUUUAAUUAAGACUGAGUUCCCCUCGAGUCUCCUGGGAACUUUCCUGAUGUAUUUAUUAACGCAAACUAAAUAUCAUAGAGGUUGUUUUUUAAGUGUCAAUAGUUGUUGAAAAAACUGAUCAUUUGAGAUAAAAAGAACAGUAGAGGCGUCGUCGUCGUCUUCAUCAGCGAGGACUACUGUGACUAAUGCAAAGUUUAAAGUAGAGAAAUUCGAUGGUACUAAUAAUUUUGGUAUGUGGCAAUGUGAGGUGUUAGAUGUCUUAUGCCAACAAGAGUUGGACAUUACUCUUGAAGAAAAGCCUGACAAGAUGGAUGACAAGGAGUAGAUAAAGAUCAACAGAUAGGCAUGUGGUACUAUUCGCCUAUGUUUGGCUAAAGAUUAGAAAUACUCUGUUAUGAGGGAGACAAAUAAAGAAAUUGUGGGAGACACUGAAAGAAAAGUAUAUGAAGAAAAGCCUUGAAAAUAGGCUUUAUAUAAAGAAGAAACGUUAUUGAUUCACAUAUACACCAGGCAUCUCAAUGAAUGACUAUGUGAACUCAUUCAAUAAAAUAUUUGCAGAUUUGCUAAAUUUGGAUGAGAAAUUUGAAGAUGAAGAUAAGGCACUGUUGUUGUUGAAUUCCCUUCCUGAUGAAUAUGAUUAUCUUACCACUACUAUGUUUCAUGAGAUGGACAGUAUCACGUUCGAUGUUGUAUGUAGUGCAUUGUACAACUCUAAGACCAGAAAGAAAGACAGGAAGGAUCACAAAGAUACAAUUGCAAAAGCAUUGACAGUGAUAGGUUGUUCGCAAAGCCGCAAACCUAGAAAAAUAAGCAAGUCUAAAGGGAGACCUGCCAAAGAUAAAUGUGCUUUUUGUCGCGAGAAAGAGCUUUGGAAAAAGAAUUGUCCUAAGUUACAAAAGGGCAAGGCUAAUUCUAAUGCAUGUGUAGCAGAGCAUGAUAAGGAGUCAGACUUUAUUCUGGUUGGCAUGACAUUAAUAUGUCACUCAAAUGAGUAAAUUUUGGAUUCGGGUUGUACUUAUCAUAUGUGUCCUAACAAGGGCUGGUUUUCUAACUUCAAAGAGUUAGACGGUGGAGUUGUUUUUAUAAGCAAUAACACAGCUUGUAAAACCAUGGGAAUAUGUACAAUCCAAUUAAAGAAUCAUGAUGGCUCAAUCCAAGUUUUGACAUAUGUUCGCUAUGUACCAAACUUGAAGAAAAAUCUCAUCUCAUCAGGAAUCUUAGAAUUUAAAAGGCUUACAAUUACUUUAAGAAAUAGAUUGUUGAAGGUAGUAGAUGGGGCAUUGCGGUGAUUAAAGGAACAAGAAAAAAUAACUUGUACUAUUUUCAAGGAAGUACAGUUAUUGGAUCAGCAUCAACAAUUUCUAGAAAAGAUACAAAUUUAGAAGCAACCAAGUUGUGGCAUAUGCGUUUGGGACAUGCUGGUGAAAACGUUUUGCAGACUUUGGCGAAGCAAGGCUUAUUAAAAGGUACAACUUCUUGCAAAUUAGAAUUUUGUGAACAUUGUGUUCUUGGCAAGUAGACACUGGUAAAGUUUGGUUCAGCAAUUCACGAUACAAAAGAAAUUUUGGACUAUGUUCACAGUAAUAUGUGGGAACCUACCAAAACAACUUCUUUGGGAGGUAUGCACUAUUUUGUUAAUUUUGUUGAUGAUUAUUCAAGAAAAGUGUGGGUGUAUUUGAUGAAGAAUAAGAAUGAAGUUUUGGGUAUAUUUUUGAAAUAAAAGAAAAUGGUUGAGACUCAGACCAGUGGUGAGUACAAGAAUGAUUCAUUUCUUCAAAUAUGCCUAGAUGAGGGUAUUGUGCGACAAUUCACUAUUGGAGAUACACUACAACAGAAUGGGGUGGCAGAACGCAUGAAUCGGACUAUAUUGGAGAAAGUUUAGUGUAUGUUGUCCAAUGCUGAAUUGGGCAAAGAGUUUUGGGCUGAGGCAAUUGUAUAUGUGUGCAAUCUGAUCAACCAUUUUCCAUCAACUGCAAUUGAGGGCAGAACAUCCAUGGAGAUGUGGACUGGUAAACCUACUACUAAUUAUAAUUCUUUACAUGUUUUUAGUUCCACUGCUUAUUAUCAUGUAAGGAAUUUAAGUUAGACCCAAGAGCAAAGAAAGCAUUAUUCAUGGGUAUAACUGGUGGAGGAAAAAGAUAUUGUCUCUGGUGUCCUGUUACGAAGAAAAUUAUUUUCAGCAGAGAUGUAACUUUUGAUGAAUCAACCAUGUUGAAACAAAAAUAUUCUCAAGAGGAUGACAAGACCAGUAGCACUUUGCAGCAGGUAGAGUUUGAAAUAAUUGAAGUUGAUUCAGCUGGUGUCGAUGAGAUGGAUAGUAAAAGGUCACGUAGAGAGAUUUGCAGACCUGCUCGCUUUGUUGAUAUGGUGGCCUAUGCACUUCCAAUUGUAGAUGACGAUGUUCCUUCCACUUACAGAAAAACAGUAAGUAGCCUAGAAAGUAUACAGUGGAAGAAAGCAAUGAACAAAGAAAUGAGUCUCUUCACAAAAAUGAAACUUGGGAGUUAGUUACAUUGCUCAAGGAAUCGAAGACAAUUGGGUGCAAAUGGGUAUAUGCAAAAAAUGAAGGAUUUCCUCAUAAAAAUGAAAUUCGAUACAAGGCUAGAUUGGUAGCGAAGGGUUACGCUCAGAUGAAAGGAAUAGACUAUAAUGAGGUAUUUUCUCCAGUUGUGAAACACUCGUCUAUUCGAAUUUUGCUAGCUAUGGUUGCACAAUUUGAUCUUGAACUAGUUCAACUUGAUGUAAAAACUGAAUUUUUACACGGUGAUUUGGAAGAGGAAAUCUAUAUGACUCAGCCAGAUGGAUUUAAAGUUGCUGGAAAAGAAAAUUAGGUUUGCAAAUUAACAAAGUUGCUUUAUUAGUUGAAACAAUUUCUAAGGCAGUGGUACAAGCGAUUUGAUAAAUUUAUGAAAGGGCAAAGGUACACAAGAAACAAAAUUGAUCAUUGUGUGUAUUUUCGCAAGCUACAAGAAAGAUCGUUUAUUUAUUUGCUAUUGUAUGUCGAUGAUAUGCUAAUAGAAUCAAAGAGCAAAGAUGAGAUAGAGACGUUGAAGACUCAACUCAAUCAAGAGUUUGAGAUGAAAUAUCUAGGUGAAGUUAAGAAGAUUCUUGGCAUGGAGAUAUGCAGAAAUAGAGCACGUGGCAAAGUAAGCUUGUCUCAGAAGCAAUAUUUGAAGAAGGUACUGUUGUGCAAAUUUUAAUGUACUCGCAAGCGCACGAAUCUAUUGUAGAAUAGACUAAUGGUGACGAGUGUCGAUCCCACGAGGAGGUGGAUUUUAAUUAUAUGUAGAAUUAAUUUUGUAAAUGUGUGGUUGGAAUUAUGGUGGAAGUGAUUUAAAUUAUCCUAAAAUUGGAAUUGAAAUGUCGAUAAUAAAUUCUAAAAUUGGAAUUGCAAUGGCGAGAAUAAAUUGAAGAUAAUUCUAUUGAAAUGACGUACUUGGGUAUUCGGAUCCGUAUCAACAUGCACCAUGGGCUAAAUAUUCCUUAUUAAUACCAAUUAAAUCAUGAGGGGGGAAUCCACACCUCAUGAACCACACUCUAAUCAAUAUGGUGCUAAGGGCUUAUCGUGCCAAAUAAUAAUAACCUUAUACUAGAGAGCCGGUGUAACCAAGGCGGUAUCUAGACAAGAUUAUUAUUAUUUGUCGACGAGAAGUCAAAACAUCCACAAAAACUAGAGGGGAAGAGAAAAUAAAUUUACCAAAUAAAGCCCAUGACACAUGUUGAGACUUCACCUUCAACCCAAGCUUGAAAGAAAAUUAGCUACUCAUAAUUGAACUAGGGGCAAAAUGGGAAUUUAUUAAAAUGCAUAGAAAAUACAAGAUGGAGAGGGAAUUACAGAAAAUAGAUCCCAAAAAUGGAUUCAGAGCUAUCAAAUUAGGGGGGAGAGACCCCCUUUUUAUAGAUACAUGGAGUAAAUCAUGACCAUCGGAUUAAAAACAGUUUGGACGCUCAGGAUUGCGCCACGUCAUCAGUCAACAGUACGCGGUUUGACCAUGCGGAUGAACAGUAACACAGUUUGACCCGGAUGAACAGUAACACGGUUUGGUUGAAAAUAAUCCUGUGUGAUUCAUGUAGCGUACGCGAGAUUUUUCGUCCACUGAUAUGUUGCCACGUCACCAUCAAUAGUACAUAAGAAUUUUAGCCCAACAGGAUCGUGACACCUCAUCAGUCAAUGCCACAUCAUCGGUCAAUGCCACGUCAUCGUCCGUCUAUGUGAACAGUGUCGUGAACAGUAACAUAUACAGUACCGUACACGUGAAUAGUACCGUACAUGUGAAUAGUGCCAUUUUUCCUUUUAUGCUCCUCCUAAGGUUUUCGACCGUCCUGAGUUCAAAAAUGAUGUCCGUUUUGCCGUCUGAUCUCUCCUUUAUUGUGAAAUGACUAUAAUGCCCUUAAAAUACAUAAAAUACUUAAUUAAAAUAAAACACACGUAAUUAAAUCACAAGAAGGUUAAAUAUAUAAAAGUAAGGGUUGUUAGUAAGACUUGAAAUGUAAAAUGACGGUUUUCUCCUUUAUAAAUAUGCAUUUUCUAACACUCAACAGGUACUACAGCAAUUUGACAUGACUGAGCAAACAAAACCUGAAAGUACCCCAUUGGCUUCUCAUUUCAAGCCUUCUGCACAAUUAUCUCCUUCAACAGAUGUGGAACAAGAAUGCAUGUUACAAGUUCCGUAUUCAAAUGCAGCGAGUAGCUUGAUGUAUGCAAUGGUGUGUACAAGGCCUGACAUUUCACUUGCAGUUGGUAUAGUGAGCAGGUAUAUGCAUAAUCCUGGUAAAGGACAUUGGCAAUCUGUGAAAUGGAUUCUACAGUACAUUUAUAAGACCAUGGAUGUUGGUUUACUAUUUGAGAGAGACGAUACACUUAGUCAAGGUGUGAUCGGGUAUGUUGAUUCUGAUUAUGCUGGUGAUUUGGACAAACGACGGUCAACCACUGAAUAUGUAUUUACUUUUGCUGGAGGGCCAAUUAGUUGAAAGUCUACACUACAGUCUAUAGUUACACUGUCGAUCACAGAGGCCGAGUACCUGGCAAUUACAGAGGCUGUUAAAGAGGCUAUUUGGUUGUAAGGCUUGCUUGAAAACUUGGGAUAAGCACAGGAGCACAUUAAUGUGCAUUGCAACAAUCAGAGUAUUAUUCAUUUAACAAAAAACUAAGCUUAUCAUGCGCGUACGAAGCACAUCGAUGUACGAUUUUACUUUGUGCGGGAAAAUUUUGAUGAUGAGAAGAUUCUUCUUCAGAAAAUUAAGACUACAGAUAAUCCCGCAGAUAUGUUGACUAAGGUGGUGAUGGUGAUCAAGUUUGAGAAUUUUCUAAACUUGAUCAAUAUCCUACAAGUUUGAAAGCAGUCGGAGAAGGCAGAGAUUGGAGGAUGAUUUGAUGUACUGGGAGUUUAGUAUUCGGCUCAGAAUUGAAUAAAUCUUCGCCGAGGUGGAGAAUUAUUGAAAAGUUAAAGAAUGGCUUGCAAAUUUCAAAAGACAAAGUUGGUGGGCUUGCCAAUUUCAAAAGGCAAGGUUGGUGGCAUGAUUUUGUUGAAGUUGCAUGGAGAAAAAAUGUGAUGGUUUUCUAGAAGCCAAUUGAUUUUUUUUCAAAUUUGUUAAUUUUGUUGCCCACCAAAUUGAUUUUUCAUUCUAAAUUCAAUUUGUCAAUUUGGCAAGUUGUAGCCAAAUUGAAAGUGGUAGGUGAGCUACGGUUCCUAUAAAUAGAAGGGUCAUUGUUCAUUUGUAAUGCAUCCCAAUUUGAGAGAAGUAGAGAGCAAUUGCAAGUGAGUUCUUUGAGAGAAUUUGAGAGAGCUUCCACUUGAGUGUUCUGAUGUGGUUGCAUUUGGGUGUAUUAGGGUUGUGGGUUUUGUGAGUUUUUCCCACUUUUGUAAAUUUUCAUUGUUAGUAAAAUUAUCUUUUAAUCUUUGCCCGCGGACGUAGGCAUUACGCCGAACCACGUAAAUCAUUGUGUUUUAUUUUCUUUACAUUUGUUUAUCAUCACAUUUAUAUUUCUCCAAAAGUCGCAGUAUUAGUAAUUACUCAACCCGCGUUUUCGCAACAGUCCUGAAUUGGUAGAAUUGAAGAUUGAUUAUAAAGGGGGACAGUUUUGUUUCCAAAGCCUUCGCUCGGUUGUAAUAGACUAUUGCAAAGAAUUGAAGGACUUGACAUUCCUUGGUUUCGCGUCAAACGUCAAGUCUAUUGAAGUACGAAGUUGUUUUGCCAUGGAAGAAAUCAUAAGUGUGGGAAAAUUUGCUGAUGUUCCAGAGGUGAUGGCAAAUCUAAACCCUUUUGUAAAACUCCAAUAUCUUCAAUUAGCUGCUUUGCCAAAUCUUAAGAGCAUUUACUGGAAGCCACUGCCCUUCUCACAUUUGAAAGAAAUGAACGUAUUUAAUUGCGAUAAGCUGAAAAAGCUUCCACUCGAAUCCAAUGCUGCAAAGGAGCAUAAACUUGAUAUUCGUGGAGAACCAGACUGGUGGAAACAGCUUGAAUGGGAGGAUGAAGCCACUCAGAAUGCUUUUCUCCCCUGUUUCAAGCCAUUCUGAGUGGAGUUUUUCAAUCCCUGAACAGAGAAUAUUAUAUUUGAUUUCUAAUGUGGUGCCUACUUUUCUUGCAUUCUACUUGUCAAUUCCCUUCAUGUAAGAAACACUCUAUUUCCUGAUUUCUCAUUUCUUGUUCUAUCUGCUGAAAAUAGUUUUAUGAGAGCAAAAAGUAUGAAAAUUGGUUACUAGCAUUUUAAAGUACUAGCAAAAAGAUAAUUUUUAAUGUAAAAUAUUUACUUCACGGCUUUAAUAUCCCUUAUAAUGCUAUCCUCUUUUUAAUCUAUGAAACUUUUGGUUUGAUUGAUCAUUUAGCAAACGUUGAUUCCUCGAGGGAUACCUUAUUCUUUGAGGGAGCAGCUCCACUUUCGGAGAGUAGGAAGAGGUCUCUGGCUUUGACAAGGGUGCUUCUGGCGUUGUUCUCUGCCAUGACUCCCAACAAUUGGAUUGCUUUCAAAUUUACAUAUAAGUGGUUUACGCCUUGGGGAGAAGUUCCUGUGCUGUCAGAGCAGAUGUUAGUAUAUAUUGGCUAUUGCACUAAGCUUUGUCGGAGUUAUUGGAAACAUAUAUAGUUUGGAAAAAAGUCUGAUGAUUGAUCCCCGGGAGGUGAUACUGUUGAAUGUUUUCGCUACUUAUAAUUGUAAAAAUGCAAGAACAGUACUGCCAUUGAAAUCAAUUCCUUUGUCAUUAUUUUCUUCUGCAAGUGAGGAAUUGGAUAAAAGGUUUUAAUAUUUGGACUGACCACUUUGAUGAGUUCUGUGUUUGUACGUCUUGACUUGCUUAGCAGCUCUUAUUCUUGCACAGCGUUUUAUUGGUUAGUUAAUAGUUAAAUGUGAAAGUGCGUAUUCAAUCACGGGAUCGGAACCUGCAAAGAUGAUGUUUGCACGAGUGCUAGACUGGAUUGUUUUUUCAUGCUGACCACUUGUUCAGUUGUUCGACCGUCGCAUAUGGAAGUUUCCACUUGUAAUUCAUACACAUAUGAUGUGACAAGCACGAAAUGCUCAAAUUUCAUCAAUGAGACCUUUGAAAGUAAAAACUCAAUGAUCUCACAUAUUCUCUUGUGUUCAAUUUCUGAGGCUAAUUUAAUUAUCAAUUAAAUUAAGAGUUUAAAUAUUGUCUUGGCUCAUGGAACUGAAAUAGUGCUCCCUUACAUAGAAGAAAAAGAGAAUGUUUACAUAAUUAGAUAUGCAAUUUUCCUAGGAUAACGAUUCAUUCAUGAUCUCAUUUUUAUGGUAACUUUCUAAAAAAGUGUGAUUGGUAGCUACGAGUUAUCUAGUAAGAAUAUAUAGAUAAUUAAAAUUCAACAGUAUUUUAUUACAUAUUAAUUAAUUGUUAGUUGACUUGUUAAAUAUCAAUUUACCAUUUAAUGAAUAAGAAAUAAGUUACAACAAUUUUUUUCUCUUUGUUUAUUUUUUUAAUGUGCAAAGAAAGUUUUAUAAUGGAUAGAAAAAUUAGUGGCCUUGGACAAAUUUAAGUGCGAAGUUAUUUUUAUGAUUUUAUCGCUAUGACAUCCAUAUGAUGUAAUCAUUUCAGAGCUGUGAUAACGAAAAUAUAAUUAAAUAUAAGAUUUUUUUUGAAAAAUAUAACAAUAAAUUGUCAAACACCAAUACUUCUUGCACCUAUUUAUUUUUCGUAAUUCUUGAAAUAAAAGCACUUGAAAACUCCUAGAAACCAAUGUUUCUUUCCUCAAUCCAAUCUUUCAUAGAAUCUUGGUCAAGAGUCUCUGUAAGUUCCAUUUAUGCUAUGUUUACUUUCCAAAUUGGAGAAUGGGAAUAUAGAAUCGGAAUUAUUGAUAGUGUUUACUUCACAAAAUAAAGGUAAGAAUCAGAAUGAAAUUCGAAUUUAGGAAUGGAGAAUGAGAGAUUGAUUCUCAGGUUGGUGGUGGUGGUGGGAAGUCCAGGGAUGGCAAUGGAGUAGAUAUGGAUUGGAUCUACAUUGCUCCAUAUCCAGAUCCAUGAUAAAAAUUAAGAUUUGUAUCUACUCCAGAUCUGUCAUGGAUUUAUAUUUUUCGCUCCAUAUCUAGAUCUGAAACAAAAAAUAAAGAUCUAUAUUUGCUCCAAAUCCAAAAAGAAAAAUUCAAAUUCAAAUCUGCUCUAGAUCUAUCAUGAAUUCUAAAUUUCAAUAAUAAGAGAUCAAUAUUUUUUUAGAAAAAAAAUUUAAAACUAAAAUGCAUUGGUAACAAUUAAAUUAUAUAUUUUGUAUAAAAAAUCUAAUAAGUAUUGUAACUUCUACUUUUACACCAAAAUAUACAAAUCAGAAAGAUAAUAAAAUAUCGAUCAAAAGUAAUUGUAAGAAUAAGAUCAUUAUAAUAUUCUAAUGCCUCGUUUAUCAUCUUGAUAUCUACUGCACACCAUCAUCAUUCUAAUAUCAUUAAAUAAUAACAUAUAAGUUAAAAAUGAUUUAUUAUAUUUAGUGCUUUAUUAUUUUUAUUAUGAUCAUAUAUAUUAAUUGAUUAACAUAAUUAUUUUAUAGUUGAUAGCCACCAUUGAUUAGUGAUUAUUACAAAAUAAAUAAGAUUAUAAGAAAAUGAUAGAAAAAUAAACUCAAGUCUAUGGAUUUUCCUAACAAUUAAAGAACUUAUUCAAGCAUUCAAAUGAGGAGGAGAAGCGAGAGUAGACUAAAGAGGAAAAAAGAGACUAAAAUUGUAGAGUGAAAAACUUAAAAAAAAAUGAGAGCAGGCUAUCUUAAUUUUAUUUUACACUUAAUAAAUUUUUGUCUUAUUAUCAACUAAGUACCUUUAAAUUUUAAGAUUCUUAAAUACAUGCUAAUGAAUAAAUUUUAUCAUCAUUUAUAAUUACAUAAUUGUUAAGAAUUUUUUAAAAUAAAAUUACAUUAAAUGGUGAGUCGACAUGGAUUUUGAUAUAGAUAUUAAGAUAAAUCCGAAUUUGCUCCAGAUCCGCCUUAGAUCCACGCAUUGAUAUCCAAAUCUGAUCCAAAUCCACUUUAAUCCGACCCAAAUCCGAUCCAAUUGGAUUUCGAUCACAUGGAUCUUGGAUCAGAUCCGAUCCAUUGCCAUCCUUUGUGGGAACCAACCUUCUAUUCUCAAAAUUGACUAUUUUGCCCCCCCAUAAAAUAAAAAAAGGUCCAUUUGUCCUUAGUUAAAAAUUAUUAUGAUUAAUUGAUUAAUUAGUAUAUUAUAAUUAAUUAAUAUAUUACUGUUAAUUACUACUAUUACUAGUAUUAUUAUUAUUAUUAUUAUUAUUAAUGAUAAAAAAAUUUACAAUCAAUUAAUAUAUUAAAAUAUUAUUAAAAUAAUUACUAAUAAUAAUAAUUUUUGAAAAAAUAAUCACAAUAAUUAAAAUACACAAGAAUAAUUAUGACAAUAGUUCAUUAAGUACUUUUAGUAAUUUGAUACAAUAUAACUCAUUUUGAUUUCGAUUCUAAGACAAAGUAAAUACAUUAAUGGCAAUCUGACUCAUUCCAAUUAUGAUUCAUAUAAUUCAAGUAAACAACUUAUUUUGAUUUUAAUUCUAUAUUCCAAUUCCAACCCAUUUUCAUUUCUGCCCAUUCUGAUUCCAGCCCAUUCCGAUUCCAGUUUAGUAAACGUACCAUUAGUGUAACUUAUAGCCCACUAAAGAUAAGCUAAAACAAGAUUCUAGCCCCACACGAUCCCCCAUGCUGGUUACACUAAAUAUAACUGAGGCAUAUUUUUAAUGUGAUAUAAGUUACAGUAAAUAUAACUUAGGCAAAUCACUUGACCUAGGGAUGCCAAUGGGACAGGUUCGGGACGGGGACCAUGCCCCCAUCCACAUCCCCGAAUUAGAAGCAAUCCUCGAACCCGCCCCCAUACCCGGAAAUUCAAUUUUGGGUGUAGUUUGGGGACAUCCCCAAUAAUUCCCGAAUAGGGCCGGGAUUAAAACGGGGUCCAAUCCCCAAUUUUUUUUAUAUUUAUUUUAUCUUUAAAAACAUAAUAAUUUUAUGUAUAUACUCAAUUAAGAACUUUUCAAACAUGAUAAUUUCGCUAUUACUUGCAUAUUUUUUUUAUGGAUAUUCUUAUGAACCAAACAAAAAGUUUGCCAAUUUACACAGUAAACAAUUUCCAACCAAUUAAUUUUUUUAAAGAAAAUUGUAAGAAUUUAGAGUUAUGGAGAUAGAAACUAUAUAAUAAGAAGAAAUUAUUUAAGAUUUUAGGAUUUAUAUAUAUUUUAUAAAUAAAACAUUAAAAGAAAUGCCUGUUAUUAGGAUGAAAUUUUAUGAGUAAGAUGAUUAACUUUAAUAUAUGGGUUUGUAUUUUAUAAAUUAAUCUGAGGUAUUUUAGAAAAUAAAUCCAAAAUGGGUGUUAUAAGAGCUUUAGAGGGGUGUUAAAAGCUCAACUCUUUUGAAUUUUAUUGCCCAAUUAUAUAGUACAGUAGCGUGAUUGUUAUGUAUUCAUUUUUUUCAAAUAUAAUAGACGAGCUGCGUAGUGCUCAAAUAACAAAUAUUAAUAAUUCCACACACACGCACACACAUAUAAAUACAUACACACAUAGAUACAUAUUGUAUUUAAUCAAGCAAAAGAAAGAACCCUUCCCCCGCACUACGCCAGUGAGGGGAGAGAGGGAGAGAAAAAGAGCUUUUUGUAUUAUAUUUCAUUAUUUAUAUUUAAUAAAAAAAUAUUUGAAGUUCGGAUUCGGGUGCCCGAAAGAAUCUCUAAAUUCAAACCUAAAUUUUUAUUAGGUCUUGCGCCUAUUCUCCAAAUAGCUCCUAUUCUAUUCUUAAGGUUUCUGAGAACUCAUACCAAAUUCAAAUUCAUCAGGAGCCCACGGGUCCCGGAGCUCGCGGGAAUGUCGCCAUCCCUUCCUUCAUCUGAUGGAAAGUUCCCAUAAACAAAUGUUUCUUUAUUUAUUUAUUUUUAUAAAAGAAAUUUCAGUGCGAAUGUCUUUUGGACGUUUCCAAUUGUCAUGAUUAGUCCUUGAACCUUUGGUCAAAACAGUAUUAUCACGCGUUGAUUGUUUGUAUCGCAAAUGCUAGUGGCAUUUGAAAGUUAGUCCUUGAAAGUUGAUAUAAUUAAUUACAAUCUACAAAUGUUUAACAAAAAAGUGGGAUGGAUAUGGCACAAAAUUAAAGCUAGCAGGAUUCGUUGGAAAAGCUAUUUUGACAAAACUUCGUUUAUAAAAUUUUCAAAAAAUAAAAAAAUAAAAAUAUUUUAAUUAAAAGUAAAUUAUAUAGGUCCAACUACCGUGCAGUUGAUGUAUGGUACCCGCAUUUUGUCCAUAUAUGAGUUGCCCGUUAGAUAUAACAUAGAACUUACUUCAACGGCAUAGAUGUAUUCUCUUUGGUUUUUAACAUUGACAUCUCUAUAGUUUUUCAAAAAAGCAAAUAGUCAAAGAUUUGAUACAUAAUUUUAGAUGAUUUUUAAAUUUUAUAUUUUGAUCAAUUGAUUUAAUUUACUAUUAAAAUUAAUAACAGUAUAAGUGCAAUAACUUGAAAAAACUUUUGAAUACAUAAAUUUUUUUAUUUUUUGAAAAUAAUAUAAUAUCACUUUAAUCUAUAAUAAAUAAUUUAAAUAUAUAAUUAAAUUUUAAUUUAUCAAUAAUAAUAUGACCAAAUGACAAUGUUAAAAAAUUUCAUAAUAAUCAACAAUGGUUUAGUAUUCAAAUAUAAAUAAUAGAAAUAUACUCUAAUUGUAAAUAGUAGUAAUAUAUUAGACUUACAUGUUAAAAUUUCAAAACUUCUAAUUUUUUCACUUUUCAGCAAACAAGAGGGAGUAAUUUACCAAAAACAAGGUGUUGAUGCUGAAAUCCAAACGAGUUGGUUAGUGACUCAAUUUCAGAUCCCCGCAUCAUCAUUAAAUUUGUUUGGUGAGAAGCUGCUAAUUGAUCUUCAAGAAUAUUCUCUGACUAUGAGCAGAACAUUCAUGAGCAUAUAAUCUUCAAGCUGAUAAUCAAUAAGUACCUGAAAUUACAGAGAAUGGUCAAAGGCGCUGGAAGUUUUUCCGGCGUAAACCCUCCGACGCCCAAGUCAGUUUAUGGGUUUUCGGGAAAAAUAAAAUAUGUCAUUUCUCAUAUGGCUUAAUAAACAUUGCCUUAAAACCAAAAACUUUUUGAAUAAUUUGCAGAAAAGUAAAGUAUCCAGAAAGAAUUUCUCAGUGAGAUCAAGACAAAAAGAGCUCUCCCUUGGCGUGGUUUUCUUGGGGUUUUUAUAAACACCCCACACCCACGACCUUAGAUCGUGACAAUAACCAUUAAAUGAUCAAAUUCGUGCCCUGAUUUUUCGGAGGAGCUUUGUGGUGGUUUAUUUUAACUGAGUCUUGAUUUCUGGUCAUCAUCUGGUCGAGGUCAUCUGCUCAAGCUCAUACCACCUGGUCGAGGUGAUCUGCUCAAGCUCAUACCACCUGGUCGAGGUGAUCUCCCCAAGCUCAUAGCACAUGGUCGAGGUGGUCUGCUCAAGCUCAUAGCACAUGGUCGAGGUGGUCUGCUCAAGCUCAUAGCACUUGGUCGAGGUGAUCUGCUCAAGCUCAUACGACAUGGUCAUCUGCUCAAGCUCAUACAACAUGGUCAUCUGCUCAAGCUCAUACGACAUGGUCAUCUGCUCAAGCUCAUACGACAUGGUCAUCUGCUCAAGCUCAUACCACCUGGUCAAGGUGAUCUGCUCAACCUCACAGUACCUGGUCGAGGUGGUCUGCUCAACCAUUUACUUACUUUCACUUAGAGGAGAUCAUGGUCGCUCUAUUUAAUUCCUCAAACACAAGGGGUACCGUGCACCCGGAGCACAUAGCUUCCUCCAAAUUGUAUAAAAAAAUAGAAAUAUUUUAACUAAAAGUAAAUUGUGCGAAACAACUUUAAUAUUUUGUUUCUUUCAUAACUUUAUCAAAAUUUUGUCAUCAAAUAUUUUAUCAAAGUAACGCUGUAAACAACAAAUUAAAGUUUAAUUUCUUAAUUACAACUGGCAAAAGAGACGUUUAAUUAUUUAAUUACAAGCGGGAUAGUCUCUUUUGUUAAAGGAAAUUAAAGUUUAGUUGUUUAAACCGAACACGCGUAAUCUUUUCAAGCACAAACAAAAGAGAUCAUAAUUCAAAGUUGAUGUUCUCUUCGCAGCGGCUUCUAUUCAUCGAACUCCAUCGUUAAAAUUUCCUUGGCUUGUCCUGGUUGAAUUCUCAUCCAAAGUAUGGGUAACAUUUUCCAAAUCACAUGCGACGGCGCUCUCUUUAACCGUUGCCUGGAUUGCUUUCUUGGAAAAGCAGCAUAUAUAAAAAACCUCAAACAAAAUCUUGCAGACUUGGAGACUGAAUUGGGAAAACUAAUCGACGCAAAGGAAGAUGUGAUGAGGAGGGUCAACACCGCUGAAAGGCACCCAAUGAUGAAAAGGCUGAACAAAGUUCAAGGCUGGCUUUCCAGGGUCGAAGCUGCUAAAUCCGACGGUGACAAAUUGAUAACAUGUGGCUCUCAAGAAAUUAAGAAACUAUGUCUUGGAGGCUACUGUUCCAAGAACUGCAAGUCAAGCUACGAGUUUGGCAAACAAGUGGCUAGAAAGCUGGGAGAUGUCAAGACUUUAAUGGCUGAAGAAGCUUUUGAAGCGGUAGCUGAGGAAGUACCACAACCUGCGGUAGAUGAGAGACCCACCGAGCCAACCGUAGUAGGCUUGCAAUCACAAUUUGAACAAGUCUGCAAUUGUCUUGAAGAAGAAUCAGCCAGAAUUGUUGGCCUAUACGGCAUGGGCGGUGUCGGUAAAACCACACUAUUGACUCAUAUCCACAAUAAAUUUAUUCAGAGUCCAACUAAUUUUAAUUAUGUGAUAUGGGUCGUAGCGUCAAAAGAUCUGCGACUUGAAAACAUUCAAGAAACUAUCGGGGAGCAGAUUGGUUUGUUAAACGAUACAUGGAAAAAUAAAAGAAUUGAACAGAAAGCUCAAGACAUCUUCAGGAUUUUGAAGGAGAAGAAGUUUUUGCUGUUGCUAGAUGAUUUAUGGCAGCGGGUUGAUUUAACAAAAGUGGGCGUCCCUCUUCCUGGCCCGCAAAAUAAUGCAUCCAAAGUGGUAUUCACAACCCGUUCCGAAGAAGUUUGUGGUUUGAUGGGAGCUCACACGAGGUUUAAAGUGGCGUGCCUGUCAAAUAUCGAUGCUUGGGAAUUGUUUCGGCAGAACGUUGGAGAAGAAACCAUGAACAGUCAUCCCGAUAUUCUUCAACUAGCCCAAACAGCAGCUAGAGAGUGUGGUGGUUUGCCUCUAGCACUUAUUACCAUAGGCCGAGCCAUGGCUUGCAAGAAGACACCUGAAGAAUGGAGUUACGCAAUUGAGGUGCUAAGAACAUCAAGUUCUCAGUUCCCAGGUUUGGGAAAUGAGGUUUAUCCUCUUUUAAAAUUCAGUUACGAUAGUUUGCCGAGUGACACAAUUAGAUCGUGUCACUUAUAUUGUAGUUUAUAUCCAGAAGAUUAUUGCAUUUCUAAAGAGAAGUUGAUAGACUGUUGGAUCGGCGAGAGACUUUUGACAGAAAGGGACAGGACUGGAGAACAAAAAGAAGGAUACCAUAUUCUGGGCAUUCUUCUUCAUGCCUGUUUACUGGAAGAGGGAGGAGGCGGUGAAGUAAAAAUGCAUGACGUGAUUCGAGAUAUGGCAUUAUGGAUAGCAUGCGACAUUGAAAAGGAGAAGGAGAAUUUUUUUGUUUAUGCUGGCGUUGGAUUAGUUCGAGCACCCGAUGUCAGAGGAUGGGAAAAGGCAAGGAGGUUGUCAUUGAUGCAGAAUCAAAUUAGGAAUCUUUCAGAGAUUCCUACAUGUCCUCAUCUCCUUACUUUGUUCCUUAACGAAAAUAACUUACGGAAGAUCCACAAUGACUUCUUCCAGUUUAUGCCCUCUCUCAAAGUUCUAAACCUGUCACACUGCGAACUAACCAAGUUACCAGUGGGGAUUUCGGAGUUGGUUUCACUGCAACAUCUUGACCUCUCAGAAUCCGACAUAGAAGAGUUGCCAGGAGAGCUAAAGGCAUUGGUAAAUCUUAAGUGUUUGGAUUUGGAAUACACAGGGAAUUUAAUUACAAUUCCACGUCAACUAAUAUCUAAUCUUUCAAGGUUACAAGUGUUGAGAAUGUUUGGUGCUAGUCAUAAGGCAAUUAAGGAAGCAUCAGAAAACAGCAUUUUAUUUGGUGGGGGUGAACUCAUAGUAGAGGAACUGCUUGGUUUGAAACAUUUAGAGGUGAUUAGCCUCACCUUGAGAAAUUCUCAUGGUCUCCAAAGCUUUUUGAGAUCGUGGAAGUUACGAAGAUGUACUCGAGCACUCUUACUCCAAUGCUUCAACGAUUCGACAUUGCUUGAAGUUUCAGCGUUGGCAUAUCUGAAGCAACUUAACAGAUUGCAGAUUGCAAAUAGUGUAAUAUUGGAGGAAUUAAAGAUGGAUUAUGCAGAGGAAGUUCAACAAUUUGCUUUCCGCAGUCUCAAUAUGGUUGAAAUAUGCAAUUGCAUUAAAUUGAAGGACUUGACAUUCCUUGUUUUCGCUCCGAACCUCAAGUCUAUUAAAGUAGGAAUUUGCCAUGCUAUGGAAGAAAUCGCAAGUGAGGGAAAAUUUGCAGAAGUUCCAGAGGUGAUGGCAAAUCUAAACCCAUUUGAAAAACUCCAAAAUCUUGAAGUAGCUGGUGCUAGAAAUUUGAAGAGCAUUUACUGGAAGCCCCUGCCCUUCCCACAUCUGAAAGCAAUGAGUUUCUUGCAUUGCAAAAAGCUUAAAAAGCUUCCACUAGAUUCCAACAGCGCGAAGGAGCGUAAAAUUGUUAUUUCUGGAGAGAGAAAUUGGCGGGAACAGCUUCAGUGGGAGGAUGAAGCCACACGAAAUGCUUUUCUUCGCUGUUUCAGAGAUGUUUGAGCAGAGAUCACAUUUGAUUAAUUUCUGGUGCGUGCUUUUUCUUACACUCUGCUUGUUAAUUUCCUUCAUGUACAAGACUCUUUUUCUUGCAUUCAUUUGCUGUAUAUAAUUUUAUGAGAAAAAAAGUUAUGAAAAUUGAUUACUAUAAUUUUGGACAAGUGGAAGUAGGGAAAAAAAAUAAAUGAAUAAAAAUGGUGCAUCAAUGCUUCAAUAUUCCUAAUAAUGUUAUCCUCUUUGUCAUCUAACAAUCUUUUGGUUUGAUCCCUUUGAAGGUACUCUUUGAGAUGCGGUUUCAAUCGAGCGGCGGAUUAUUUAGUUUCAAUCAAGCAGAAAAAUAAAAUUCCUUGCCCUGCGCGGAUGUUAAUUGUGAUGUGAAAUAUAUAUGCUGAUAUGUUAUUUACUUUCAAUCGCAUUGACGAUUUAAUUUUAAGUGUGUCUAUUUACAUUCUAAAAUAUGCUUUGGAUAUUUUCUACCCUGUAUGCUCAUUUGAUAGUUUUUGAAAACUAAAUUUUCACACUCUAAUAAGUACCAUAACAGUGCUCAAUUAAAUCAGGUAACAAGUAGUGACAAAACGUGAUCAAAUUGUACAUUUUUAAAACUUCUUGUAGUUUAGUUAUAUGUCUUGCGAGACUUCUUCGAUCCUGUUGAUAUUAUGGCAAACAUAAAGUAAUUAUAUAAUAAUUACCCUUUAAUUUAUUGUUUAUCAUUUAACUAAGUUUAUCGUAAAUGAUGUUCCGACCCUCCGUCGUUCAUUUUUUUAAUUUAACGAAACGAAAGUAUUGUUAAAUCUUCUGAAAUUUCUUAUAGUUCAGUGAAAGAUAAAUCAACUGCAUACAGAUAUACAGCAACUUCAUUACAUUCAUCUUUUAAUCAACUGCAUGUAUGUCACGAAUGAAUAUUCAAAAAUCAAGUUAAGGGUGGGGCUAUUUGCAACUAAACAAGUCUAUGUUAAUGAACCACCUCUUAUGCAAGCAAGUUGUAACACACGUUAUUUUAUUUUAUUUUUUUAUUUUUUUUGUUUUACGAUUAUUGUAUAUCUAGUUUAGAGAAUUGUAUAUCUAUUUUAGAGAAAUAGUAUUUUAGGCUAAUGAUUUUAAGGGUGUUUUAAUUUUCUUACUUUAUUUCUUUACAAUAACGAACGAUUAGAGAGAAUUGACAGUGACUUCUUCCACUCUAUGCCUCGUCUCAAAGUUUUAAACCUGUCAGGUGCUGUACGACUGUCUUCUUUUUCCUUUAGGGAUUUCAAAGUUGGUUUCAUUGCAACAUCUUGAUCUUCCAGAUACAGAAGUACCAGCGUUGCCAGAAUGAGUUAAAUGCGUUGGUAAAUCUUAAGUCUUUGAAUUUGGAAAACGCACGGAGGUUAACUGUAAUUCCAGGGCUACUAAUAUCCCGUUUUCCAAGUUUGCAUGUGUUGGGAAUCUUCGGCCCUGGUUAUAGUUAUUGGAGGAAUUGGAGGAACUCUGUGGUUUGAAAUAUUUGGAGGUAUUAAGCUUGACCUCGAAUAAUUCUCGAGCUCUCCAAUGUGUUUCGAGCUUGCAUAAGUUACGAAGUUGUACUCAAGUUCUGUUCCUCAAAAGACUUUGAACGUUCGAAGUCGCUUGAUGUUUCAGCUUUGGCAGACCUGAAGCACCUCAACAGAUUACAGAUUGUAGAGUGUUAUGAAUUGGAAGAACUGAAGAUGGAUUAUACAGGUGUAGUGCAAAACAGGAGCCAACCUUUUUGUUUUCCACAGCCUCAAGAAGAUUCAAAUAGACGAUUGUAAUUAAUUGAAGGACUUCACAUUCCUUGCUUUCUCUCCAAACCUCAAGUGUAUUAAAGUAAACGGUUGCCGUUAUAUUCAGGAAAUCGUCGGUGAUGUUCCAGAGGUGAUGUGAAAUCUAAACCUAUUUGCAAAACUCCAUUAUCUUGGUUUAUCUUGUCUGUCAAAUUUGCAGAGCAUUUACAGGAAGCCCCUGCCCUUCCCACAUCUGAAAGAGAUGAAGGUAAUUCGUUGCGAUAAGCUUAAGUAAGCUCCCGCUCGAUUCCAGUAGUGCAAAGGAGCGGAAAAUUGUUAUUCGUGGAUACACAGAAAGGUGGGAACAGCUUCAAUGGGAAAAUCAGGCCACUCAAAAUGCUUUUCUUAUCGAUGGGGUUCGAUAUUGGUUCCGAUCCUGAUUCCUGAGUAGAGAUUGUAUUUGAUUUCUGGUUUUGUGCCUGCUUUUUCUUGUAUUGAUCAUCUUGUUAAUUCCCUUCACGUAAAAUAAGACACUCUGUUUCUUGCAUUCCCAUUUCUUGUUCUAGUUGCUAAAAGUAAUUUUACGAGUACAGAUUCUUAAUAAUGUUUGUCCUCUUUGUAAUAAUCUAUGAAACUUUUGGCUUGAUUGAUCCAUUAGCUAGUACGUGAUUUGAUUUCUUCAAUUUCAGAUCCGUGGCAAGACAUCUCUACUCUCUUCGGGGCUUUGCAAUUAUGGCUCUGCAUUUUGUAUAUUAUCACUUACUAUGUUUCAUUUUAGUUCUCUUUUCCAAGUAUUAAUUUGUAUCGUUCAUUGUACCAUAGAAUAUAUACAGCAGGAGUUUUUUUUUUCAUUUAAAAAAGAAAAAAAAAACUAGGGUCAAAUAUCGACAAUCAAGCAUAAAUAUUAAUUUUGAAAAACGAACCCUGUAUUUUUCAAAUAUUUCUUUCAAAAUUAAGAAUCGAAAAAUAUUUCCCAAAUGAUCAUCACAUUUUGCUCAUCUCUCCAUUUCUAAAGACGCGCAUACAGAUUACAGACAUUCCCCAAUUACAUUAUUCAUCGUUCAAUCAGCUGCACGAAUGUCGCGAGUGAAUCAAUAUUCAAAAAUUUAGUUGCAUCGUCGAUAACUAACUUACAACUUAACGUGAAACUUGUCCACAUAAGUUAACGAGUCCUAGUAAAGCUGUGAACAACCUCUUGAGCAAGCCAGCAAGUCCCGUCAACGGCCUUUCAACAGAAAGAUUUACUUGGUUAAUGCCCUAUUUACAUAUUAUGUUCCAUCGAUUACAUAGGCAGUAAGGCUCCUUCUGUGACAAAAUUUCAGAAAUGAUGCACUCUGGUUACUCUAGCCAAGACAGACAGUUGGUUCAAUGGAUAUGCGCAACUGAGAAAGAGUAGUCAUCAAGAAUGGAUAACACUAUAAAUACUUUAUCGAUAACAGAUAAUGCAAAAUUUAUUUUAAAUGACUGGUUAUGGGUUUGGAUUCAAAAGCUAUUUACAUAUUUAAUACUGGAAAAAUAGAGAAAAGCAAAUGAAACUGAGCAAAAAUUGCAAAUGAUGCACCAUCAUGCCAAUUGGGUGUUUAGAUUUUGAUUGAGAUCUGUGAAAACAUACUUAAUUUCAAACCAAUCUCACUCUUUUUAUAAAAGUUACUACAAGAAGUUGAAAAACGAAAAGAGUUCUACCAGAAAAUUUGGGGGCAGACAUCACAGGUGCUGAGCCCGCCAAUCAACAGCAAAGAUCUCUUCACUAUCAUCGUCACUGGAUAACUCUUCUUUUGUAGGUUCUUUGCGAGCAACCUCAGAACUACCUCUGCUUUUCGCUGACCUGGAAGCCGCUUCCCACUCCAUUUUCUUCUUCCUUAGAGC
rnacentral:lncRNA from 1 species